UGGAAGUAAAAGUCGUAACAAGGUCUCCGUUGGUGAACCAGCGGAGGGAUCAUUACCGAGUUUACAACUCCCAAACCCCUGUGAACAUACCACUUGUUGCCUCGGCGGAUCAGCCCGCUCCCGGUAAAACGGGACGGCCCGCCAGAGGACCCCUAAACUCUGUUUCUAUAUGUAACUUCUGAGUAAAACCAUAAAUAAAUCAAAACUUUCAACAACGGAUCUCUUGGUUCUGGCAUCGAUGAAGAACGCAGCAAAAUGCGAUAAGUAAUGUGAAUUGCAGAAUUCAGUGAAUCAUCGAAUCUUUGAACGCACAUUGCGCCCGCCAGUAUUCUGGCGGGCAUGCCUGUUCGAGCGUCAUUUCAACCCUCAAGCACAGCUUGGUGUUGGGACUCGCGUUAAUUCGCGUUCCCCAAAUUGAUUGGCGGUCACGUCGAGCUUCCAUAGCGUAGUAGUAAAACCCUCGUUACUGGUAAUCGUCGCGGCCACGCCGUUAAACCCCAACUUCUGAAUGUUGACCUCGGAUCAGGUAGGAAUACCCGCUGAACUUAAGCAUAUCAAUAAG
rnacentral:misc_RNA from 1 species